rnacentral:tRNA from 1 species
GAUGUAUCUCAGUGGUAGAAUGCUUGCCUAGCAUGCAAGAGGCUCUGGGUUUAAUCCCCCGCACUCCA